AAAGGGCUAUAAACUACCUUUUCUGUGUGGGUUCUCAGCGGUAAAGCUUUGUAAGUUGGGCCUAGGUGUUGCAUGCUUUGAGUUUUCUUAUUUUAACUAUCUUUCAAGGGCACGCUUUUCUUUGGAGAAAAGCCUUUAUCCACACCGGGCCCCGGGGUCGUUGUUCCGUGUGUCGUCCCCCCCCCCCAUUUCCCCAUUUUCGUUACCAUAUCUGGGGUUGCAAAAAAUCCGCAAGGCAGCUGCGAUGGCAGCAAAGGGAAAUAUAAAACUCCAACUCAUCCGGAUUUUUGCAGUUCGAAUGUAGCAUCCUAAUUUUUGCGCCGGAGAUAAUAAGUAGACGGAAAACGGGACAAUGGGAGGAUAUUUUUUUAAAAAAGCAGCAAACCAUAUUUGUCUUCCUGUGACGAAAAUUGCAGAGAUGGAUCCCUGCUGUCGCCUGGAAUCAAGUUGAUUUAAAGGAGAUCCGGUUUUUAUCACGGGGGCAUUGAAGUCAGUUGUUUUCACUCCAUGGUGACAAAACCUAACAGUGCGAAGAAAUAGAUAAUUAAUAUUUGUCACCAGUGUUUACUUACAUCAAUCUAAUGGAUAAGAGAUCUAACCAUUCAGGACAGUAUGGAAGUGCCAACUUCUCACCAUUUAAAGAUGUAAAUAUGCAGGAGCAUCUCAGCAAGUCUUGGAUAACUUUGUUCAGAGUCUGAAACGACAAAGAAUUAUGCCUAGUAGAAAGUAAAGGGUCCCCAACUUCUGGUCCGUGGAUUGGCACCUGUCUGCGCCAUGCCAGAAACUAAGCAACGAGAACAAGUGAAGCCACAUCCAUGGGCAGCACACGAAACCACACUCCCUCUGGUCCACAGAAAAACCUCUCCCCACGAACCCGGUCUCUGAUGCCCAAAACAUGGAACCGGUCCCUGGUCUCUUGUGGGCCACUAUCUUAAAUGAAUUUUGACUCCUGGUGAUAACAUGAAGAUAUUAUUGGCUGAGUGUGAUUGGACACAAAAGGAAUUUGUCUUUGGUGCAUGUGCUCUCAGUGUACAUA